GUUUCAUCUUUAUUUGAAAAUUAUAUGAGACAUAGAAUUUAGCUGAUACUUGGAUUAUUUUAACUAUAUUUAUUAAAUUUUAUACAAAAUUUGCUUGAGUUGCGGAAGAAAAAGUUUGACAUCAAAUUUUGAUGUCAAAUUUUGAAUUUAAUCAACUGUUGGGACUACUUAAGAUCUGUCUAACUGAAUUAAGAGGACUACCCUAAGUAUAAAAAUUGACAUGCAGAAGAAUUGGGAACUAUGUAUGUGCAUUUGUAUCAUUCAGUUCUACCAUAUUUAAUGAAUAUUUAAAGAUUAACAAAUUUGACGUAAUUAAUCAAAUUUUGGUAUCAAAAGACUGAAUUUAAUUACCUAUUGGGAUUACUCGAGCUCUGCUGUUAAAAUAAAGCUAAUGUUCUACUCAAUUUGCAAUAGUUUUUAUAUUCUUCAGUAAAUUUGGAUUAAGAGGACUAUCCUUAGCAUAAAAAUUGAUAGUCUGAAGAAUUAGAAACUAUACAAAUUCGUGCCUUUCUGUGGUGCUAUAUUUACUGCAGAAAUCUGACAUAACUAAUCAAAUUUUGGUACCAAAAGACUAAAUUAAAUCGAGUAUCAGUACAUACAAUCCGGACUACUUGAGAACUGAUCGCUUAAGAAGACUACUCUAAGCAUUCAAGGUAACACUCUAAAGGAUUGGAAGCUUUGAAGUUGUAUCUUUCUUUAGUAUCUUUAAGAAAAUUUGCAAUUAUGGUCUGCGUUAGAAAGGUUGCACUUGUCAUUCUGUUGAUUGUGGUCAUUUUUGUCAAAUUAUAUACAUUUGGAGUUUUUUCCUUCUUGGACAAGAAAAAUAAAAAUCCUGCUCAUGUUUCAAAGUUUAUGAGUGUCUAUAACCAUGUAAUGAUUGCAAAAUGGGGUCUACUCAUCAUCAUCUCAUUGUACCUACUAAUGCGUCGUACUGUAAAGGACCUAUAUAACAUUCGUAUUAUUCCUCGACAAUUUCAAGUCCAUAUGAUAGUUGCCGAAAUUAGUAAGGGCUUAUCCUUUACUUCAAUGGAACUAAUAAAAAUUAAGGAGCAUGUUGAACUCGAUCGUAUUGUUGAUCUACUCCUUAUAAGAAACAAAAUUAACGGCCCAUUUAAUUAUGCGGAGGAAGCAAAUUAUAUUGCAACAAAUGAAGGUAUUCAGACUUAUUGUAACGUUGUUAGAUAUCUAUUCUUAAACAAAAGGAUUUAAUAUGAAUAAAAUCUGGAUGGGUAGAAUAGAUUACUUUAGCGAGAUCACUAUACAUCUUCAAGGAGCUAUAAAUUCAUUGUAUCAAUUCAUUAUAAUAAAAUAUUC